AACGAGUUUUUAAUUUGUUAGGUUAGAGUUGAGCUGGUUAAUCUAAUUAUAUUGUCUUACUCUAAUCGUAAACAAGUCCACUCAUUACUUAACACUUGUUGAAACUUAUUCAUUACAAACAUUAUUAUUUGUUAUUGGAACGUUUUGAUUAUUAACAAAGUUUAAUA
rnacentral:misc_RNA from 1 species